UAAUGAUGAUGAUGAUGAUGCUGAUGAUGAUGCUGAUGAUGUGCUGAUGAUGAUGCAUCAUCAAUUUAUCAUUAUUAUCAGCAUCAUCAUCAUCAAUUUAU
rnacentral:pre_miRNA from 1 species